rnacentral:rRNA from 1 species
GAGUUUGAUCCUGGCUCAGGAUGAACGCUGACAGAAUGCUUAACACAUGCAAGUCUACUUGAACUUCGGUUUGGGUGGCGGACGGGUGAGUAACGCGUAAAGAACUUGCCUCACAGUUAGGGACAACAUUUGGAAACGAAUGCUAAUACCUGAUAUUAUGAUUUUAGGGCAUCCUAAGAUUAUGAAAGCUAUAUGCGCUGUGAGAGAGCUUUGCGUCCCAUUAGCUAGUUGGAGAGGUAACGGCUCACCAAGGCGAUGAUGGGUAGCCGGCCUGAGAGGGUGAACGGCCACAAGGGGACUGAGACACGGCCCUUACUCCUACGGGAGGCAGCAGUGGGGAAUAUUGGACAAUGGACCAAAAGUCUGAUCCAGCAAUUCUGUGUGCACGAUGACGUUUUUCGGAAUGUAAAGUGCUUUCAGUUGGGAAGAAAAAAAUGACGGUACCAACAGAAGAAGUGACGGCUAAAUACGUGCCAGCAGCCGCGGUAAUACGUAUGUCACAAGCGUUAUCCGGAUUUAUUGGGCGUAAAGCGCGUCUAGGUGGUUAUGUAAGUCUGAUGUGAAAAUGCAGGGCUCAACUCUGUAUUGCGUUGGAAACUGCAUGACUAGAGUACUGGAGAGGUAAGCGGAACUACAAGUGUAGAGGUGAAAUUCGUAGAUAUUUGUAGGAAUGCCGAUGGGGAAGCCAGCUUACUGGACAGAUACUGACGCUAAAGCGCGAAAGCGUGGGUAGCAAACAGGAUUAGAUACCCUGGUAGUCCACGCCGUAAACGAUGAUUACUAGGUGUUGGGGGUCGAACCUCAGCGCCCAAGCUAACGCGAUAAGUAAUCCGCCUGGGGAGUACGUACGCAAGUAUGAAACUCAAAGGAAUUGACGGGGACCCGCACAAGCGGUGGAGCAUGUGGUUUAAUUCGACGCAACGCGAGGAACCUUACCAGCGUUUGACAUCUUAGGAAUGAGACAGAGAUGUUUCAGUGUCCCUUCGGGGAAACCUAAAGACAGGUGGUGCAUGGCUGUCGUCAGCUCGUGUCGUGAGAUGUUGGGUUAAGUCCCGCAACGAGCGCAA